rnacentral:rRNA from 1 species
UACAGAGGGGGCAAGCGUUGUUCGGAAUUACUGGGCGUAAAGGGCGCGUAGGCGGCCUUCUAAGUCGAACGUGAAAUCCCCGGGCUCAACCCGGGAACUGCGUCCGAUACUGGAAGGCUUGAAUUCGGGAGAGGGAUGCGGAAUUCCAGGUGUAGCGGUGAAAUGCGCAGAUAUCAGGAGGAACACCGGUGGCGAAGGCGGGUCUCUGGGCUGACACUGACGCUCAUGCACGAAAGCGUGGGGAGCAAACAGG